rnacentral:misc_RNA from 1 species
AAUUCUCAACCUCAACACUUUUGUGAUUGAUGGCUUGGAUGUGGAGGUUUUUCUGCAGGCUGUUAAAGUCUGCUCCUCUCAAAUGAAUUAGUGGGUGCCCCGCGCAAACCUAUCUAUUGGUGUGAUAAUUAUCUACGCCGUGGAUUAUAGGAUUGCUGUAAAAAGGUGUUUGCCCUGCUUCUAACUGUCCUCUGGACAACUUGAACC